CCUACGGGAGGCUGCAGUGGGGAAUAUUGCACAAUGGGGGAAACCCUGAUGCAGCGACGCCGCGUGAGGGAAGAAGUAUUUAGGUAUGUAAAGCUCUAUCAGCAGGGAAGAAAAUGACGGUAUCUGACUAAGAAGCACCGGCUAACUACGUGCCAGCAGCCGCGGUAAUACGUAGGGUGCAAGCGUUACCCGGAUUUACUGGGUGUAAAGGGAGCGUAGGCGGCGAGACAAGUCAGAAGUGAAAGCCUAGGGCUCAACCCUGGGACUGCUUUUGAAACUGCCGCGCUGGAGUGUAGGAGAGGUAAGCGGAAUUCCUGGUGUAGCGGUAAAAUGCGUAGAGAUUAAGAGGAACACCAGUGGCGAAGGCGGCCUACUGGACUGUUACUGACGUUGAGGCUCGAAAGCGUGGGGAGCAAACAGGAUUAGAUACCCUAGUAGUC
rnacentral:rRNA from 1 species